rfam:Oryza meridionalis cultivar OR44 (W2112) chromosome 1, whole genome shotgun sequence.
AAAAAGACAAACCCUGAAUUUACGUGUCCAACUUUAACUGUCCGUCUUAUAUGAUUUUUUUAUAAUUCGUAUUUUUAUUGUUGUUAGAUGAUAAAACAUGAUUAAUACUUUGUGCGUGACUUGUCUUUUUAAUUUUUUUCAUAAUUUUUUCAAAUAAGACGGACGGUUAAAUAUUGGGCACGAAAACCAGGGUUUGUCUUUUU